rnacentral:rRNA from 1 species
GUCUACGGCCAUACCACCCUGAACGCGCCCGAUCUCAUCUGAUCUCGGAAGCUAAGCAGGGUCGGGCCUGGUUAGUACUUGGAUGGGAGAAAGACCUAUCCUUCUCCACAUUUAAAGAACUUUGACU